AAUCUCUCUGCCUCAAUUGCUGAAACAGUAAAUCGAGUAGGAUAGAUGAUUCCGAUCCAGAAGCUCACCGAGAACUCGGGGAAAGGAGAAUAAGGGCUAGAAGAUGAUCUACGAAAGAGAAGAGAUCGUCUCGGAGCACCAGAUUCAGGUGGAAAGAGGUUGAUGAUGAUAUGAGAGAGAAAAGAUAGAUUUGGGAAUAAAAAUGAUUCUGAUUACUUUCUGCAAAAGGCCUUUAGGCGGUACAUAAGGUGUGACAAGAUACGCACGCACGAGUCCACACGCGAUCGGUACAAUAAAAACCAGGAAAUUAAACCGAAAUACUACUAAGGUUCUCAACCAAACUUAUUCAAGCAAUAAAUCAUAAAGGUGGAUAAGGAGAGUAAGGAGAAUCCGAUAUCAAUACUCUCCUCUCGACAGCAAACCUGUCCUCAAGUUUGAAACUCUGGAUACUUCGCCAUGAAGUCUUUGUAGAACUCCCAUGUCGCUUGAUUAGGAGGGUAGCCCUUCCACUGAACAAGAACCUUAGUCACUGCAGUAUUCUGACGCUUAACCAUCUUCUUCUCCAGAAUGGCUUCAGGUGUUUUAUCAGUGCCCAAGUCGACCCAAAAUUGAGGCAGAGCAGGAUCGGAUGAAGGAGGAUUUGGGCAUAGUUUGAGCUGACUCACAUGAAACGUGUGGUGGACAGCAGCCUCAGGAAGAAGUUGCAGCUUGUAAGCGGCUGGUCCCACAGUAUCGAGAACACGAAAUGGACCAUAAAAUCGUGGGGAUAGCUUAUGCGGUGCUCUUUUGCCUUUCAGUGAGUUCUGUCUGUAGGGUUGGAGCUUAAGAUACACAAAAUCCCCGAUUUUGAACACACGGUCUGAACGAUGAGAGUCAGCAAUCUGCUUCAUUCUGUUCUGAGCCCUGAGCAGGUGGAAUUUGAGAAGAUUGAUGACCUCUUCUCGCUUUUGCAGGUUACGAUCUACAGUAGCAGAGGAACUCUCGCCCGGAAGAUAAGGGAGGUGAGUAGGGGGUGGCUGACCGUAUAGGAUUUCAAAAGGAGUACUUUUGAUGGCGGAGUGAAAUGUCGUGUUGUACCACCACUCUGCCCAGGAGAGCCACUUGCUCCAUGAAUGAGGUGUGUCUGAGGUCAUGCAGCGUAGGUAAGUUUCGAGCGUCCGGUUGGUAACUUCGGUCUGACCAUCCGUCUGGGGGUGGUACGCCGUAGAAAACUUCAGAUCAACGCCGUGCACACGAAACAUUUCCUUCCAGGUGUCACUCAGAAAAGUGGGAUUUCUAUCACUGACUAUAUCCUUUGGCAUCCCGUGUAACUUGAAGACCUGAUCCAGGUAGAGCUGCGCAACAUCCAUUGCUGUGUACGGAUGAGAGAGAGGCAGAAAAUGCGCAUAUUUACUUAACCUGUCGACGACGACCAGUAUACAGUGUUUGCCCGCAGAAGGAGGGAGACCCUCUAUGAAAUCCAUGCUUAUAGAUUCCCAAACAGCAAGAGGGAUUGGUAAGGGGUUAAGAAGACCCGGUUUGGCUGAUAAGUCAUUCUUGUUCCUUUGACAUACAGCACAAUUCCGCACAUAAUUCUGAACCUCUGUACUCAUCCUUGGCCAGUAAAAUAGAGACUUUACUCGCUGUAAAGUUGCAUCGCGACCUGAGUGCCCCCCUAUAGCGGAGUCAUGAAGCCACUUGAAAAUGUGUAGUUUGACCUCAGUGUUGUUACCUACAACCAACUUGCCUUUCCUGCGGAGUUCGCCAUUGCUGAAUGUGAAUGCUGGAUGAGAGUGCGGGUUAUUCUCGAGCUCGGUAAUAAUACGAAGAAGAGAUGGAUCUGUUUUCCACAGUAAUUGCAGAGAGUCGUAAAACUCCUGAUGAGCCUGGGAGAGUGUGAUAUGGAGGAGCUCAGACCCAGUGACCCGAGACAAGGCAUCAGCUGCACAGUUUUCCUUACCUUGUUUAUAAUGGAUCUCAUAAGUAUAUCCCAUGAGUUUAGAGAGCCAUAUCUGCUGAAACGGAGUAGAUACUUUUUGCUCCAACAGAUACUUGAGGCUCUUUUGAUCGGUCUUGAUGACGAAAGGGCGAUGAGCUAAGUAGGCGUUCCAGGAUUGCACUGCGUGUACUACCGCCAUAAGCUCCUUCUCGUACACUGAGAGCGAAUGAUGACGCGGUCCAAGUGCUCUACUAAUGUAACAGAUGGGGUGAUUAUCCUGCAUAAGGACAGCACCGAUACCAGUGUUAGAGGCAUCCGUUUCCACCACAAAAGGCUUGUCAAAAUCUGGCAGGGCAAGAACAGGGGAUGUUGAUAGGGCAGUUUUGAGAGCCGCAAAGGCAGUGGAAGCCUCAGAAUUCCAAGUGAAUCCGUCCUUCUUAAGAAAACUGGUUAGAGGACGUGCCACAACACUAUACCCUUUAAUAAACCUGCGAUAAUAAUUAGCCAAACCAAGAAAACUCCUUAGCUGCUUCUGAGAAGUUGGAACUGGCCAUUGGGCAAUGCUCUGGAUCUUGGAAGGAUCCGUACUCACACCUGCCUCUGAAAUAAAGUGUCCCAAAUACUCGAUAACAGUAGCUCCAAACGUACACUUUGAAGGCUUGAGGAACAGCUGGUUCCGACGUAGAAUAGAGAAAACUUCAGCAAGAUGGUUGAGGUGGGAUUCCCAAGUGGAGCUGUAGACCAAAAUAUCAUCAAAGAAAACCAGGAUGAACUUGCGCGUCACAGCUCGAAACACAUGAUUCAUCAGACCCUGAAAAGUGAAAGGGGCAUUUGUCAGCCCAAAGGGCAUGACCAGAUACUCAUAAUGGCCUGAAUGAGUUUUAAAUGCGGUCUUGUAAACAUCAUCAGGGUGCAUCCGCAGUUGGUUAAACCCAGCCCGUAAAUCCAACUUGGAGAAGUACUUAGAACCACCCAACUCGUCCAACAGAUCCUCCAGAAGUGGUAUCGGGUAUUUGUCCUUCACCGUCUGUUUGUUUAGUCCUCUGUAAUCAACACAUAAUCGCCAUGUACCAUCUUUCUUCUUUACCAAGACCACAGGGGAAGCAUACGGGCUGUUGCUGUAUUGGAUAAUACCUUGGUUCAACAUUUCCCGGACCAUUUUAUCAAUCUCGUCCUUUUGGAGGGAAGAAUAUCGGUAUGGGCGUUGGUUGACAGGGUUAGCCCCGGCUUCAAGCGGGAUGUGGUGAUCAAACCCAUCUCGGAAAGGAGGGAGAGUUGCAGGUGCUUCAAAUAGAUCGCUGUAUUCACUGAGGAGGGGCUGUAGUGAGCUAUCCGCAGAGGGGUCGGUUUCUCCUGCUGAAAGGUGGGAGAACAACAGGUCGGGUGUAAACGGGGAAUCAUCAUAUUCCCGAACUUGUAGCAUAGCUAUCUGAGGUUCCUGCAGCAACAGCUUGUUCAAACAACCACCCUUGACAACCUUCAAACCGGAUUUAGUAACUCCUCGGAGUUUAUGGUGAAUACCAUUAUAAGUAAAUUCCAUACGAAGGUUCAGAAAAUCCCAUAAGAUUGGUCCCAGAGUACAGAGCCACUGAACACCGAGAACCAAAUCACAACAAUCGAGGGGUAAAGUACGCACUUCUGUAGUAAAGGUGUAACUCUGCACUCCCCAAGUGAAAUCUGAACACUUGAAACUGGUGAGAAGACGGUUACCAUUUGCAGCUGCCACCGUCAUUGGUUUGAUUUGUUCUAAAAGGCAACCAAGUUCCUUGGCCAUUGCGAUAUCCAGGAAAUUGUGGGUGCUUCCGGGAUCAACCAGAAUGUGGAUCUUUCGUUUGCCAUAAUCCCCUACUACUCGCAUACAGUGAAGAGUUGAGGUGCCACUGAGAGCAUGAACGGAAAUCACAGGUGAUUUCUCGGAGGAGUCAUCAACUUCUUGCACCUGUACCCCUUCGGUGGUCUCUUCCUCAUCAGAGAACUCCUCAUCAUCACACUCCAUCAUAGAUANNNNNNNNNNNNNNNNNNNNNNNNNNNNNNNNNNNNNNNNNNNNNNNNNNNNNNNNNNNNNNNNNNNNNNNNNNNNNNNNNNNNNNNNNNNNNNNNNNNNUAUGUGAUAGCCUUUGGUGCUUCAGAGGGCUGUGGGAGCAACGGUGGGGACUUAUAAGACUGAUAAGCGGAGGACCGUUGGUGGUGUGGAUUGAAGGAAGCUCUUGAGGUUUUAACUGGAGUACACAAGAGAGCAGAUUCGUGAAGUUGGGCUAUCCGAGCUGCCUCAGAAACGUUGGUCACCGGGAACUGUCGUGUAUGGAGAGAAAGAUGAGGAGCCAUGUUGGAGAGGAAUAUGCUCAACGCGUGGGCCUCAGAUAGUGGUAUUCCGGAAGUGGCGGUUUCAAACUUCUCUAGAUAUACUUCAACAGAGUCAUUAUCUUGCUUCAGAGCAACCAGUUCAGCCAGAGGAUCAUCAAAAAGCUUAUUGAACCGCUUAGAAAUCGCAGCGACAUAGUCAUUCCAAGAGGGAAAGAUACCAAACCUGGUAGACAUGUAGUUGCUGUGCCAUUGCCAGGCUUUCCCUUGCAUAUGUACCGAAACAAGGCGAACCUUCAAUUCCGGCGGAGUACCAUCGAGACUGAAGAACUGCUCACAGCGAUCUAACCAUUCUCGUAGCCUCGUUCCAUCAAAAACAGGAAAACCCAUCUUGGUUAAGCGAGAUGAAAGCCCAUUGGGAAGGCGAGAAGAUCCAUCCAGCAUAAGAUCUGUGCCGUUAGUGUUUUGAAAAACCCCACUCAGACAGCGUGGAUCUGGUGACUGGAACAUCUCUUGAGAAGAGACUCCAACAGGAGGCAACACAGAUUUACCGGCAGAGAUGCGAUCGACCCCACUCAGAUCCGGUGGAUCUGGUAACUGGACCAUUCCCGAAGAGGGAACUCCAACCGGAGGUGAAAGCGAGCUGGAUCCAUUGAGUUGACACGAUCCCGAGUCACGGAUGAUAUCGCGUUGCUGAGGAGACGUCAAGUUGGGAGUGAAAUGGGUUAAGAUCAGCGAUUCGAGUUUACUGAAGCGAGCUUCCAGAGCUUCGAGCUGCUUCUCAUGGUGAAACCCAUAAUCCCGUUGUUGAUCGUCCUGAGGUUGUUUCUCCGUAGCGAGCUUGUCCAUGGCUUGUUUCUCUUGGAGACGCGUUUCCGGAGGCAUCGUCAGCGUAGUCCGAAGUCGGAAAGCUCUGAUACCAAUGAAACAGUAAAUCGAGUAGGAUGGAUGAUUCCGAUCCAGAAGCUCACCGAGAGCUCGGGGAAAGGAGAAUAAGGGCUAGAAGAUGAUCUACGAAAGAGAAGAGAUCGUCUCGGAGCACCAGAUUCAGGUGGAAAGAGGUUGAUGAUGAUAUGAGAGAGAAAAGAUAGAUUUGGGAAUAAAAAUG
rnacentral:lncRNA from 1 species